CCUACGAGAGGCAGCAGUGAGGCAUAUUGGUCAAUGGACGGAAGUCUGAACCAGCCAAGUAGCGUGAGGGAAGACUGCCCUAUGGGUUGUAAACCUCUUUUAUGCGGGGAUAAAGGUGUCCACGUGUGGAUGUUUGCAGGUACCGCAUGAAUCAGGCCCGGCUACUUCCGUGCCAGCAGCCGCGGUAAUACGGAAGGUCCGGGCGUUAUCCGGAUUUAUUGGGUUUCAUGGGAGCUUCGAUGGGUUGUUAAGUAAGUUGUGAAAGUUUGUGGCUCAACCGUAAAAUUGCAAUUUAUACUGGCAGUCUUGAGUACAGUUGAGGUAGGCGGAAUUCGUGGGGUAGCGGUGAAAUGCUUAGAUAUCACGAAGAACCCCGAUUGCGAAGGCAGCUUACUAAACUGUGACUGACAUUGAUGCUCGAAAGUGUGGGUAUCAAACAGGAUUAGAUACCCUAGUAGUC
rnacentral:rRNA from 1 species